UACGUAUGGGGCAAGCGUUAUCCGGAUUUACUGGGUGUAAAGGGAGCGUAGACGGUACGGCAAGUCAGAAGUGAAAGCCCGGGGCUCAACCCCGGAACUGCUUUUGAAACUGUCGAACUAGAGUGCAGGAGAGGUAAGUGGAAUUCCUAGUGUAGCGGUGAAAUGCGUAGAUAUUAGGAGGAACACCAGUGGCGAAGGCGGCUUACUGGACUGUAACUGACGUUGAGGCUCGAAAGCGUGGGGAGCAAAC
rnacentral:rRNA from 1 species